AUGAGCCCUACCCUGCGGCUGGCUCUCCUGGGCGCCACCCUCAUGCUGCCCCAUCAGGAUGUCCUCAUCAGGGAGCACAGUGCAGGCCCUGGCCUCACUGUCCUCUCUUACACCCAUGUGUGCCGGGAGGACAAAUGCAACAGCAUGUCCACCAGCCUCCCGCUCUGGACCCUGCCCUCCACUGCAGGCCCGAGCUCCCUGAGGUGUCCAGUCUGCUUGUCUACAGAAGGCUGCGAGUCUGCCACAGAACUGACCUGCCCAGCCGGAAGCACGCACUGCUACCGCGGAGCAAUCACGUUCAGGGAAGGUGAGCCAGGACAGGGGGAUAGCUUCAGCAUUCUGAGAGUCCAAGGAUGCACGUCCCAAGCAGGCUGCAACCUGCUCAACGGGAUUCAGAAAAUCGGGCCCAUCGAAAUGAGUGAGGACUGCAGCCCUAGUGCUUUUCUGACCUGUCAACGGGGGGUCACGUUGUACAGCAAUCAAAACCUGUCUCAGACGCCCCGCAAGUGGACCACAGAUCACUACGAGCUUUGUGAUGUUGGGGAGGUGUGUCAGGAGACACUUCUGCUCGUCGAUGUAGGACACAAAUCGAUCAUAGUAGGAAGCAAAGGCUGCAGCAAGGGCAGGACGCAGGAUGCCCCUACGAUCACCGUACACUCGGGGCCCCCCGGAGUGCUGGUGGCCUCCUAUGCCCAUUUCUGCUCCUCCAACAGGUGCAACAGGGCCAGCAAUACCAACGUCCUGUUGAACUCUCUCCCUCGUCCAGCUGCCCCUGCCCCGGGCAAUUUGCAAUGUCCCAUCUGUGUGAACAUCUUUGGAUCCUGCCCAGGAAACCCAGAAACUGUUAUGUGCCCCAGUGGCACCACUCAUUGUUACAGUGGUUACAUUAAGAUCCAGGAAGGUGGGAUACACUCUGAAUUGAACAUUCAGGGCUGCGUGACCCAAGCUUCCAGCUCCUUGUUGAACCAUGCCCGGAAAAUUGGGGUCUUCUCUGUGACUGAGAACUCUGAGGAAGAGCUGGACCUUAUUCUCCAAGCUGGAGCGGCCCCCAUGCCCUUACUGGCUUGGGUGGUGGGGCUUGGACUAUCCCUAGCUGUCUGGUGUGGGAUGCCUCUCUGCUGACCCUAUUCCCCUAUGAUUCUUAGCUCCUUGCUGACCCCCUAAACCAACCUUCCUUCUGACCUCAUAACCAAGCAGCCUUGGAUGCUGAAUUAUUUCCUUGCCCUCUCCGUGAAUCAUCAUCCCUCAGCACACCCACAUACUUCAUGGCCUGAUAACAACAUACAGAAGCAGC